rnacentral:misc_RNA from 1 species
GAUGAAGAACGUAGCGAAAUGCGAUAAGUAAUGUGAAUUGCAGAAUUCAGUGAAUCAUCGAAUCUUUGAACGCACAUUGCGCCCGCCAGUAUUCUGGCGGGCAUGCCUGUCUGAGCGUCAUUUCAACCCUCAUGCCCCUAGGGCGUGGUGUUGGGGAUCGGCCAAAGCCCGCGAGGGACGGCCGGCCCCUAAAUCUAGUGGCGGACCCGUCGUGGCCUCCUCUGCGAAGUAGUGAUAUUCCGCAUCGGAGAGCGAUGAGCCCCUGCCGUUAAACCCCCAACUUUCCAAGGUUGACCUCAGAUCAGGUAGGAAUACCCGCUGAACUUAAGCAUAUCAAUAAAGCGGAGGA